CCUACGGGUGGCAGCAGUGAGGAAUAUUGGUCAAUGGCCGGAAGGCUGAACCAGCCAUGCCGCGUGAAGGUCAGUGCCCUAUGGGCGUUAAACUUCUUUUGUGCGGGAGCAAUAAUGGUCACGUGUGGCCAGACGAGAGUACCGUACGCAUAAGCAUCGGCUAACUCCUUGCCAGCAGCCGCGGUAAUACGGGGGAUGCAAGCUGUAUCCGGAUUUAUGGGGUUUAAAGGGUGCGUAGGCUGGGAGUUAAGUCAGCGGUGAAAUGCCCCCGCUCAACGGGGUGAAGUGCCAUUGAUACUGCCUUGCUGGAAGGCGGAUGACGUGGGAGGAAUGUGUGGUGUAGCGGUGAAAUGAAUAGAUAUCACACAGAACACCGAUUGCGAAGGCAUCUAACGAAGCCGCGAUUGACGCUGAUGCACGAAAGCGUGGGGAUCAAACAGGAUUAGAUACCCUAGUAGUC
rnacentral:rRNA from 1 species